GGCGGCGGCGAACACUCCUUCCGAAGGAGAAGCGCAGGCCUCCCAAGGGUAGGGACUCAGGGCGGAGCCACCAGCCCCGUUCCGCUACUACCUCAGUCUCGGCCCCCUCAGGCCAGGCGUGAGCGCCGCCCGCCUCUCCCACUGACUGCCUCUGGUUCCCAUGGCUUCCCCCACCAAUGGGCAUCCUGGCGGUGAUUGUGGGAAAUGUAGUCCCGGGCAGGCUCGGCUAGUGGGCUCGGACGCGCUCGCUGACCACGAUCCCCGGCAAGCCCCGCGCCUCCGGCGGCGCCUCACGCAAUCUGCGCCGGGGCGGGGCAGCGGCCGGGUAGGCGAGUCCCAACGGCUCCCGCGGCGGUUCGAAUUCCUUGCUGCUGGGGUUCGCUGGUUCUCCAAGUAGCGUCCGAGGCUUCCACACGCAGGGGCCCUGGAGAGGGUCAGAGGCUUCCUAACGUAGACUCGAGUGCGAAGCACGCAGUCGCCGGGUGAGUCUCUCCCCAGCUGCAACUUGGGUGGUGAGCGACUGCCCCUUGGCGUGGGGAAAACAGCUUACCUGGGGGAGUUUUGUUCCUUUCCCUUCCCGGCACCUUGGAUGCGCUGGGACUGGUCCUUGCGGUUGCUGAGCAUGCUCCUCUGAACGGUUGUAUUUUAUUUGAUGAAAAAUAGGAGUCUGGGCGCAGUGGCUCACGCCUGUUAUCUCAGCACUUUGGGAGGCCGAGGCAGGAGGAUUGCUUGAACCCAGGAGUUCGAGGCCAGCUUUGGCAAUAUGGCGAGCCACUGUCUCCAUAAAAUUAAAAAAAAAAAAAAGUAUUUCCUCAAAAAAAAAAAAAAAAAAAAAAAAACUGAAAGGAAGAUGUCACGUCCGCCCCCGACCCCUGCUUCUUUCACACGGAUGUAGGAUCAGCUGUGUCAAGCAAUCUUGAGACAAGAGACUACUAUACAAAGUUAUGACCUCUUUCCAAAA